ensembl:lncRNA
AAUAAAGAAUCUCGGUAAAGAAAAUCAAUCACAGUUCUAUGGAGAUCUCCAAAUAUGUCACCCAGGAAGCAUUGAGUUUUAGUCCGUGGCACCCAUAGCUGGCAACUUGCCUCAUCGGAGGGGUCAGGACAGAAAUAGGUUGUGUUCCCGAAUCUUUGAUGGGCCUGUCUGCCUGGCCUCUGUGUUGAUCUGCUGUGAAUCCAAACACCGGCCAUGAAGUCUCAGCUCGGCCCCAUCAUAGAGGAGUCGCUUCUUGCUUGUUCCCCCUCCUAUACCAGAUCCUUGACAAAGGAAUGACGUUGAUGAGGAAGAGGAUGAUGGUUUCUACCCAAUAAAAAUCAAGGCCCUUCAAUAUUCAGACUCCUCCAGCAUACCAUCUGUUCAGUCUUUCGGUGCAUCUGCAAGUUCCAUCUCAGUGACAGAGAAGCAUUGGAGAGCUGUACAGCUUUAGAAUAUUUAAAGAAGACUGAAGUAUUUAAAAAGUAUACUACUACUGAACCGUCUCAUGAUGCUUGUUCCCUAAUAUGUGCGAAGUGUAGUCAAUAAAGUAAUAUUUGUGCUGCCAAUACAGACUGUUGAUGUUAUUUGUCUUGAUUCAGAAAUCAAGGAUGUUACUUUUCUUCAUCAGACAUUCUAGUUGAAAUUGAUAAACCUUACAGACAGC